rnacentral:lncRNA from 1 species
GCACAUUUUUAUCACAGGUGGUCAUAAAUACAGUUGACUGAAUAAUUCAUUGCAGACAAUGCUCAUGAAGGAGCCUUGUUCUCUGCUCCUAAUGAUUCACAAGCUUUGCCCACAUGAACAAUGUCUGCUGAGCCCCAUUAAAUCUGUGAGGCCUAGCUGAAAGCAGCAGUUCUGCAGAUGAGAUGCUUUUGAAAAUGAUGACAGUGUUUUUGUCAGAGGUACAUAUUUUUUUAGAGUAAUUGUGACUAACUUGAUUGAUUUUGAAUGCUUCUUUUUUCACAUUAAUCAUUCUUCCCUCCCCCCUCCACAAAAAUACCCAAAUCCAAAAUCCUGUUGAUUAGGACUGG